UGGAAGUAAGACUCAGAAGCACAUCAGGACCCCUAAGACUGUGACCCCCAGGAGUUUCUCACUCUCUAAUUAGUUCACAUUCACCUCCAGAAAUUCAUCAAAAUUAUCAUUUUACUGUUUUUACCAGUUGUUGACUCCAGCAGCUUCUGCUUCAGUCUUACUGCUGCUCACUUUUUGGGUCCACACUGCGUUUAUUAGCUGCAACGCUCACCGCUAUGGUCUGCAGCUUCACUCCUGAAGCCAGCGAGACCACGAACCCACCAGAAUGAAGAAACUCCGAACACAUCCAAACAUCAGAAGGAACAAACUCCGGACAGGCGGCCUUUAAGAACUGUAACACUCACCUCGAGGGUCUGCGGCUUCAUUCUUGAAGUCAGUGAGACCAAGAACCCACCAAUUCCGGACACAAUGUUACUCCAGAUAAUCAGCGCCAUUUUCUGAAGCUUGAGAUGCAGGAAAAGAGGAGUGCUAUCCAUUAGAUGGAGACAGGAAGUAGAAAAAGAGCUUAAAGUUUUGGCUUGUGUUACUUCCUUGGGGAGAUCUUGCUGGACCACAUCAGGAAUAGGAGGGGUGUGUCCCCACAGCACUGUGUACACGAUGGAGAAACCAAGUCUUUGAAAUCUUGAGAAACUUGCUCACAGUAUAUAUAGAUGUUAAGUGGCACGUUUGGUGAAUGAAUCCACGAUGAUGUUCCAAGCUUAUGCUCAAUAUUUGAAUGAUACAGGGGACAAGUGAAGAGGAGGGAGGCAGGUCAUAUACCCUAGGCCGUAAAGGAGGGGAGUGGAAUCAAGGAAGAUGCAGCAGAAAAGAAGACUUUGAAAGCACUUAAAAGAAGACUUUGAAGGAUCUUAGGGAGCUUGGAUGGUGGAACCAUGAGAAGAGCACAGAGAAGUUGGUGAGGAUAAUUCCCCCCCUUCUCCAUAUUCUAGAGCUGACAACUCCAGCUUGUGUCAGGGUAAUCAAAAGAAGAGACAAUUUAUUGCAGCUCCUACCAUGUGCCAAGCAGGCACCUACCUAAUACCCUAGGGGCAUUAACUCUUUUAACCCUUGCAACAGCCCUGUGAGGUAGCUACAGUUACAAGCCCCAGUUUAGAGGAAGAAACUGAGGAACAUAAAAGGUAAGUAGCUUACCCAAGGUCUUCAAGCCAAUUGAGCGCGUAUCCAGCUCCAGGGUUUGUGGAUUGUCCUGGAAUGCCCCACCAGCAUCAAUGACUUGGUUCUCUUCCCUGGCCCUGAAGGAGUGGGCCACUUUCCAGACACGUCCCAGGCAGCAGUCCUGCUCCGUGACACUGUCAAGAAGAGAGGAGCCUCAGGAAAAGUCACAGACAUAAACAAGAUAAAGCCUGUGACCUUCUAGGACACUUUGGCCUGUGGACCACAGAACUGUCAAUGGCCCAGCCCUUGCUCUGAUAAGGGAGGGCAGGAACAUUCCAGGAGAUGCAUUUGUCUCAAGCCCUCAAAGGCUGAGCAUCCCCGAGAAUCUGGCAGAGAGAGAGAGGACGGGGGAGGCUGGUGGGAGGAUCUCUCCAGGGCGUGGAGCCAGCCCCACUGCCCUUGCUAUCCCUUCAGCCCAGAUAUGGGGCAAGAAAUUCAGGCCAACUCAGCAAACAUGUACCUGGCAGCUCCUUCCUGCCUGGCACUGCUAGGGGCAGAGUGCUGGAGGAGAUGGGAGGGCAAGGAUCCCAGGUUGCAGGGGCUCAGAAAGGUGGAGGGAGAUGUGGAUAUCAAUUGCCUGCAUGGAAAAUGAGGGGACAAAGGACAGGCUUUAGUGCUCUGAGGAAGGAGGCAGUCAUUCUGUCUGAGGUUGUGGGAGUCUAGGAAUAUUUAUUUCCUAGAGAACGAGGCCCCUAAGUAGGCCGUAAAGUUAACCAUGACUUUGACAGGUGGAGGGGUCAGAGGAGAGCAUUCCUGGCACAGAUUGGUAUGUUCAAAAGCAUGGAGGAAGACAAUUGCAGAUGUGUUUCAGUUCAUGCAAAGGCCCCUGGAAGGUUGCAAUGGAAGAUGAAGCUAGAAAGAUCAGGGCUGCAGUAGGAGGGGCCUUGACUCCCUGGGAAAGGGUGUGAAACUAUCCUAUAGGAAUAGGAGCCAGGGCUGCCUCUCCG
rnacentral:lncRNA from 10 species